CAGCCGCCGCGGUAAUACCGGCGGCCCGAGUGGCGGUCACUAUUAUUUGGCUUAAAGCGUCCGUAGCCGGGUUGGGAAGUCCUCCGGGAAAUCUGGCCGCUUAACGGUCAGAAUGCCGGAGGAUACUCCCAGCCUAGGGAGCGGGAGAGGCCGAGGGGAUUCCCGGGGUAGGGGGGAAAUCCUAUAAUCCCGGGAGGACCACCUGUGGCGAAGGCGCUCGGCUGGAACGCGUCCGACGGUGAGGGACGAAGGCCAGGGGAGCAAACCGGAUUAGAUACCCGGGUAGUCCUGGCGGUAAACGAUGCGGACUUUGUGUCGGACAAGCUAUGAGCUUGUCCGGUGCCGGAGGGAAACCGUUAAGUCCGCCGCCUGGGGAGUACGGCCGCAAGGCUGAAACUUAAAGGAAUUGGCGGG
rnacentral:rRNA from 1 species